rnacentral:lncRNA from 10 species
AUUUAUAGCUGGAUAUCGUGAAGCAGUAUUUCUGAGAUGAAUUCACCGUAAAGUUCCUAAAAUCAUCAAAGGGAGGCAAAACAGAAAAAGACACCCAGAAUGCAAAUAGCCUCAAUUUGGACUAUGAGUAAAUUAUAAUAUAUCAAACAAACUUGAUUUGCUAAGUGUCUAUGCCAUAUGAUUCUGCUGUUUGCGUUUGAUUUAGAAUGCUGAGCUGACUCAAAGUCAAACUAAAAAAAAAAUGAAAUAAAAUAAAAAUCUUUAUUUCCAAUGAGCUAAUGAGGAAAAAGGGGAUGAUGAAAAAACAGGGAGUGGGAGCAAUUUGGAAAUGGAAAGAAUGCUGAAUACCUACAUGAUGCCUAAUUCAGAAGAACAUUCUGUUUUCAAAUUAAGAACAAUGUGUUUGCACUUAAUGAAACAACCUCUACUGCUCUUCAAGAGGACUCAGGAUACCGAUUCUCGAGGCCCCUGGCGGUCCCCUUGGCAUAAAACACUUCAAUCACACGUAGCUUUCUGGAGCAACAGACCAUGGGCUGAGGAUUGAGUUUCCGGGAGCCACAGCAAGGCUCUCCAAUGCCAUCUUUCUGUCUCACUGCUGAAAGUCAAGAAUCACAGUGCUGAUCUUCAGAAACUGUGGGUUCAGAAACUCACCUGGUCACUAGAAUUACUCUCCCCACUUUACCUCUGCUACCCCGGAGAUCCCCGAGACCAGUCCCUUUUGGGGAGCCCUUGAUGGCAUCUUCACUAGUAGCCCUUUGGCUCACAUGGGAAUACCCCCAGGGACUCCUCGCAAGAGGGCUAUGAGGGAGGCUUCAUUAUUCUAGUGUUGAAGCCCAGAGUCUCAACCUAAUCAGCGCUUUCCUUCAAGUUCGAGCCUCCAGGAGGAGCCAAGGAGUUUCAACAGCGUUUCAAAGUUCGCAGUUUGUAUUCUGCUGCACCAGAGACAUCAUUGAAUCUUACAGCUGAUGCUACCUUCUUUCCCACACCUGGAUUCACCCAAAGUCCUGGAGAACAGCACAUGGUGGAGAGAAACCCCUAGCCAAUUUUCCCUUCUGAAAGAUAAGAGCAAGACACCUGGGUGAACUGGUGGCUGAGGGACCUCCGCUCCUGGAUACAUGUCCGUAAUCAUUCAUGGAGUGAGAAAAUCGGCCUGUAUGUUACCACUAAAGAAGCUAGUCUGUAAGAAUGUAUUGAUUUAAGUAUAUAUAAAAAUACAUAGAGUAAAUUAUAACUCCCCUAGGCACAAUUUCAUUAUAUACCUUAAAAAAUACAUAGAUGCCACUCACUUCACUGCUAACAAAAAUGACAAUAUCAUUUAUCAUUCCAACCAUGGUACUUUUUUUUUUUUUUUUUUGAGUCAGAGUCUUGCUCUGUUGCCCAGGCUGGAGUGCAGUGGUGCAAUCUUGGCUAACUGCAAUCUCCGCCUCCCGGGUUCAAGCGAUUCUCCUGCCUCAGCCUCCCGAGUAGCUGGGACUACAGGCGUGUGCCACCACGCCCAGAUAAUAAUUUUUUGAAUUUUUAGUAGAGAUGAGGUUUCGCCGUGUUAGCCAGGAUGGUCUCAAUCUCCUGACCUCGUGAUCCGCCUGCCUCGGCCUCCCAAAGUGCUGGGAUUACAGGCAUGAGCCACCACACCCGGCCCCAUGGUAUUUUGACUACAAAAUGAGACACAAUACAUGAAAAAGUGGUCUACUGUGGAUCACUACUCUCAAUGAAAAGAAACAAACUAUUGAUACAUUUGACAAACCAAGACUUUCUCCCCAAAACUGGGCUGUGUGGUCCCCUAACUCUACCUGAUAGGGAAAAGAAAAGUGAGUUGGGAAUGAGGAAAGUAUUUUUUUGGAGGGAGGUUUGUUUUAGGUUGGUUUUUGUUGUUGUUAUGAUUUGACUGUGAUUCCUCCAUAGAGUAAAACACAGUCAGUUCUUGUUGUUUGUGGUUAUUAUGUUCUUUAAAGAACAUAAUUGCUGUGAGCACUGAAUUAGCAAAUACUGAACUGUUGCUCCCACGGGAAAUACAGAGGACGUUCCUUCGAGCCUGUGGUCACACAUUGUCAUAAAACAAUCGAUACACGACCUUGUUUUAUGUGUGUUUCUGUUAAAGGACACCUUGUUUAACAUACAGCAUUGAUUUAUUAACAUUGAAUUCAUGACCAACAGUACUAUAACUAACGCUUGAACAAGGCUUAUCAACACAUCUCUUUUCUUCAUACGGUACAUCAAAGACUUCUUGCACUUAGGAAUACUAGAUGGCACUAUAUCACUGUAGUGAAAUCAGCAGCAAAAAGCACAACAUGAGAAAAAUGUGGCACUAAAUAGAACACACACCAAAAGGACAGUUGUGUACAAUAUGAGAUAUAAAACAGGAGCAAGGCAGAAUGUCGCCUUGUUGAACCUCAUCUGGGAACAUGAACUUUGGGUGACAAUUUUUUCGCUGCUCUCCACAUGUCUGUGAAGGGACAUGAAAUAGCUGUGGCUAUUGAUUUGAGAGUUACAGGUAAUUUUAGGGAGUAGGCAGGUCUGUAAAUAUGAAAUCCAUGAGUAAUGAUGACUGACUGUAGAUUCUUGUCCCUAACUCUUAGGUGUACCUUUAUUUAAAGUUAGGCUCACCAAGUAGAUUUCAAGAGGUCUCUAAGAGUGGAUCUAAAAUGGAGAACAAAUGACCUCAGGAGAUGUAGAUAAAAUAUGUCUCUUCAAACUGGUUUUGCACCAGUAAUGAGACAGUGACGCAAGUCCUCUGUAUCCUCGCUGUGCUUGUUUUUGUCCCUAUUUUCAUCAUUCUGCUAGACGUGCAGUAAUACUUUUCUGUGGUUUUAAUUUGCAUUUCUCUAAUAGUACAGUUUGGCAGUUUUUUAAACAGUUAAAUAUUCAACUGCAUUUAUAUAUGACCCAGCAAUUGUACUCUUUGGCAUUUAUUCCAGGGAAAUGAGAACAAACUUGAACAUUGUGGCACAUCUAUUUAUAAUAACCAAGAACUGGAAAUAAUCAGAUAUCUCUCCAUGGAAAAAUGGUUAUUAAACAAAACAUAGUACAACUUACUAUGGAUCACUACUCCCAAUAAAAAGGAACAAACUGUUGAUGCAUUCAGCAACCUUAAUGAAUCACCAAAGAACUAUCCUAAGUGAAAAUAAAGCCAGUUUCCCAAGAUUAUAUAUGGUAGGAUUCCCUUUAUAUAACAUCCUUGAAAUGAGAAAAUGAUAGAAAUGGAGAAUAGACUAGUGGUUGCCAGGGGGUUAAGGUGGGAAUCCAUGCAGGAAGGAAGUGGCUAUAACGAUAAAAGAGAAACAUGAGGAAUCCUUGCUGUGAUGAAAAUGCUCUGAAUCUUGACUGUAUCUAUGUCAGUAUCUUGGUUAUAAUAUUGUCUUAUGCUUUUGCAAGAUGUUACCAUUGGGGAAUACUAGGCAUAAGCACAUGAGAUCCCUCUCUCGUAGUUCUUACAACUCCGUGUGAAUCUAUGAUUACCUCAGUAUAAAAAGCUUAUUUAUAAAUAAAUGAAGGAAAAAUAAAGACUUUCUCAAACCAGCCAAACUACACACCACACACACACACACACACACACACACACACACACACACACACAGAGUUUUAUUCUUUCCAAGUUUGAACUGAUUCUUAUUCCUUCUUCAGUCAUUCAACAAGCUGUUACCCUUUAAAGAGGCUAAGGAGAGAUUAAUUAGAUAUUAGUUCGUAAGAUACAUUUUUCAAAUUUCUUAAAAUAUAUGUACAUGUACAAUUUAGUGAAAGCAAAAAAAACUUUGAUAGUAAUAAUAUUGAAGAUCCAAAUCUGUAUUAAGUCAAAUAUUUAGUGAUAUAAUUUUCAUUUCAAAAUGGUUUUUACAUAAAGUAAAACUGUGUACAAUAAAGUAAAUAAUUUUAAUGCAAUUUAUUCUUUUUUUGGAUGAGGAAACUGAGGCUCCCUUCUUAUGUGGAAAAAUGGUUGGCAUUGCCAUUAGUGCAGAGUUGAUUGGGGCUAAAUUGAUGCACUCUUUGGACCAUAAAGUCAAGAGCAGAUAUGUAAAACCACGAUGUGUCAUUAUGGAUGAUCCAGUUUCUUUUUAAAUCAGAAUCUCUGGGGCAUGAACAAAGUCUUUAUAUAAGGUACUAUUCUGUCUUAUGGGCUCUCUCUAUAUGAUUUUUCUAUAUAUGCAGAUAUAUAAGGAAAGGGCUGACAAUAAUCAUGUAGGAUACAUAAAAUAUUAUUUUCUUUCUGAAAGGAAAGGGAAUGGGCCUCCUCUGGUUAAAAUUUAUAUUAGAUUUCGUAGACUGCUAGGGCUGCCAUCACAAAGUACCACAGACAGGGACACUUAAAGAAAAGAAAUAUAUUGUCUCACGGUUCUGGAGGCUACAAGUCAAAGAUCAAGGAGUCAGUGGGAUUGGUUGCUUCUGAGGCUGUGAGGGGCAAUCUGUUUCAUGCCUCUCUCCUAACUCUGGUUAUUUGCCGGCCAUUUUUGGUGUCCCUUGGCUUAUAGAAUCAUUGCUCCAAUCCCUGACUUACCUUCACGUGUUGUUCUUCCUGUGUGAGUCUGUCUUUGUGUUCAAAUUGCUUCCUUUAAUAAGGACACCAGUCAUACUGGAUUAGGGUCCCACCCUCAUCCGUGAAGUAUGACCUCAUACUAACUAAUUACAUCUUCAAUGACCCUAUUUCCAAAUAUGACCACAGACUGAGGCACUGCAGGUUAAGGCUUCAACAUAAGAAUUUUGGGGGACACAAUUCAACUCAUAACAGAUUUUCUCUCUCAUUCUUACCCCAUGGAUAGGAUAUAACAGACAAAGCCCUCUUUAGGUUAUCAAAUAAAUUGUGCCCAAGAUGCAAUGGGCGAAAAGUGUCCUAAGCAACAUAAAGAUAAGCAGCCAUUGUAAUAGAUAUAUUUUUGGCCUUAUUUUAUCUAAAUCAAAAGAUUAAAAGUAAAACUCUGAAUGCACUAUAUUUGCAAAAUGUUUACAAUUAGCCCCAUAAUUUUCUUUUGCAUUAAUAUUAGAAGAAAACUAAACAUUUUCUAAAACUUAUUACUUUCUGAAUGUUUUGAACGUGCUGAUGUAAAUUUUUCAACUCUAAGUGUAGGUGAC